GGGGAUUUAGCUCAGUGGUAGAGCGCUUGCCUAGGAAGCGCAAGGCCCUGGGUUCGGUCCCCAGCUCCCA
rfam:Rattus norvegicus chromosome 1, whole genome shotgun sequence.